UUUGCUUGUUGAAUUUGAAAGGGUUUUGCACUUCUCUUCCAUUCUUGUUCUUCUUAAUCGAUGGCUAAAGGUCUUGAGUAGAUAUUGGUGGGAUGAAGUCUGUUGUGUGUGAGUGAGGAGGAGGGAUUACCGGAACAGUAGUUCCGGCGGCGUGGUGGCUGCCGGCAUGUGUUUUGCUGUGUUUUAUUUUCCCCUGUUUUUGACAGCAGCAGGAUCGUACCUUGCAGACCGUUUUUCAUCUGUUUUCUUUCAUCAAACCCCAUCAAUAUAGGUACCAUUAGAAAGCUAUCGUCGUUGGCUUUCCAACAGUACCUUCGGAUCGUCAAUCCGACACCGGACGAGGGAGUUAUGAGCCAAUCAAGUCAGGGUGUCGGGUCUGUGCGCGAAGGUUUCCGCGCGAGUUUGAGUCGACCUUCCGGCGUCAAAUCGAUGCCGUGAGGGAGAAUAAGUUUAGGAGUUUUGUAGCUCAUGUCGUAGAAGUUCUAAUCAUAGGUUUUCUUCUUGAGAUCUAAGGUCGAAUUGGCCGGAAUAGACGUCGAGAUGUAGCUCCAUACGUGUCGAAUAUGAGUUUUAAUAUGUUAUGCUUAUUUUAAUUUUUUAUUUGGGAAUUUGAAUUAGAUUUUUGAUGAUUGUUUCACCUUGAACACAUAAAUAGAUAAUCAAGACAUUUGCUUUUAAUAUUAUUAGCCAAGAAUUGAAAUAAAUUAUAAAGAUUAUGGUGAUCUAAACUUGGUAUAUUAUAUAAUUAAAUUAUACGAUUAUAAUGAAGUUUGAUUAGUAUAAUUUAUACUAGUAAUUGAAACUAUGAAUUUAUAAUUUGUAGAUUCAUAAAAUGUUCAAAUAUGGUCUUCGGCUUCAAGUGUAUUGUAGAAUUAUCAAGAAUAUAUUCAAGAGAGAUUAAAAAUAUUGUUUAAAGAAAUGAGAGCUUAUUCAAGAAUAAGUGCUUGUAAUGAAACUAAGUUUAAAGUGUUUCAAGUGCUAGGAGCGGUGCAUCCAAGGCUCGAGGAGGACAACCGAAGCAAGCUUGAAGAGGUUUGAAUUCAAUCACUUAAGGUUAAGGAGUUGAUGGCAAGACGGCAGACAUGGAGCUCCACAUUCUCCCGUUCUAUUAUAUGAUGAAGUAUUAUAUGUUGUUGUUUUUGGUAAAUAUAUCUUGCUACUAACCAACUUAGCCUCUUCCAAUUUUGGUGGGUCGAGACUUUAUAUAUAUUGGUUUAUGAUCAUGCAUUUUGAUGACGGUUGUGACCGAAUAUAUAUAUAUAUUUUGUUUACCGUAUGUGUAGUUACGAGCUGUGCCUCGAACACGUUAAUUAUACUUUUAAACUUGAUGGUUUUGUAUGUACUCCAUCUUUUUAUAUAUAUAAAUAUGAUGCUUAGA